UUUCCGUAGGUGAACCUGCGGAAGGAUCAUUACCGUGUGUGGGUCUCUCAGGCCCGGCCUCCCUCCCUGUGUUUUUGUGACCUUGUUACUUUGGCGGGUCCGGCGCGAUGAGAGGCCGCCGGAAGCUCCCGGCUUUGGGCCCGUGCCCGCCAGUAACCCCCUUAAAUUCUUAAUAAACCUGUCGCCUGGGUCUAGAUAAAAUAAAAAAAACUUUCAACAACGGAUCUCUUGGUUCUG
rnacentral:misc_RNA from 1 species